UAGUGUUACAGCUCUUUUAGAAUUUGUCUAGCAGGCCUUCUGGCUUUCGCUGGGACGUCCCC
ensembl:snRNA U7 U7 small nuclear RNA